GCUUUCCCUCCAGAGUGGAUCCUGAGUACGGCGGAACACGUGAAAUUCCGUCGGAAUCCGGGAGGACCAUCUCCCAAGGCUAAAUACUCCCUAGUGACCGAUAGUGAACCAGUACCGUGAGGGAAAGGUGAAAAGCACCCCGGAAGGGGAGUGAAACAGUUCCUGAAACCGUGUGCCUACAAGUAGUUAGAGCCCGUUAAUGGGUGAUAGCGUGCCUUUUGUAGAAUGAACCGGCGAGUUACGAUUUGUUGCAAGGUUAAGCGGAAAAAGCGGAGCCGUAGCGAAAGCGAGUCUGAAUAGGGCGCAUAAGUAACAGGUCGUAGACCCGAAACCAGGUGAUCUACCCAUGUCCAGGAUGAAGGUAAGGUAAUACUUACUGGAGGUCCGAACCCACGCACGUUGAAAAGUGCGGGGAUGAGGUGUGGGUAGCGGAGAAAUUCCAAUCGAACUUGGAGAUAGCUGGUUCUCUCCGAAAUAGCUUUAGGGCUAGCCUCGAGGUAAAGAGUCAUGGAGGUAGAGCACUGUUUGGACUAGGGGCCCUUCUCGGGUUACCGAAUUCAGAUAAACUCCGAAUGCCAUGUACUUAUACUCGGGAGUCAGACUGCGAGUGAUAAGAUCCGUAGUCGAAAGGGAAACAGCCCAGACCACCAGUUAAGGUCCCCAAAUAUAUGUUAAGUGGAAAAGGAUGUGGGGUUGCUUAGACAACCAGGAUGUUGGCUUAGAAGCAGCCACCAUUGAAAGAGUGCGUAAUAGCUCACUGGUCGAGUGACCCCGCGCCGAAAAUGUACCGGGGCUAAACAUAUUACCGAAACUGUGGAUGAACCUCUUUAGAGGUUCGUGGUAGGAGAGCGUUCUAAGGGCGGUGAAGUCAGACCGGAAGGACUGGUGGAGCGCUUAGAAGUGAGAAUGCCGGUAUGAGUAGCGAAAGAAGGGUGAGAAUCCCUUCCACCGAAUAUCUAAGGUUUCCUGAGGAAGGCUCGUCCGCUCAGGGUUAGUCGGGACCUAAGCCGAGGCCGAUAGGCGUAGGCGAUGGACAACAGGUAGAGAUUCCUGUACCAGUGCUAAUUGUUUAACCGAUGGGGUGACACAGAAGGAUAGGGAAUCGCACGAAUGGAAAUGUGCGUCCAAGCAGUGAG
rnacentral:rRNA from 1 species